UCCCUUUUUCAUUUCAAUCAACCAUUGGUUACAAAAAUUGUGUUUAACAAGCUCCUAGGGGCUCCAUUCCACUCUAUCCUAGCUGAUCUUAGCAAGUUUGUCAACCUUGGGCCCUUUGUAUUUUGCUCAACAUGUAGCAUUUUGGUUGUUUGGGGAGUUUUUAAACCACCUGGGAGCUAUAUAAUUAAUAAUUAAUGUUAUUGGAAAAGGCAGGAAUACAUGUAAGAGGUGUUCAAGUUCUGCAAGCAAGGUUUUUGUGUUGAGAUUAAAAGGGGAAUUUUAUUUUGUUCAGCUGCUGUGACUCACAUGAAAACAUUAGUUACUACUUUUUGGUUCAGAUGCCCAAGAAACUUCUUUUAUUCCGUAUCAGUGCUAUGCGUUUUUGUUGGCUUUUUUAAUUUGGUGGGCUGUUUGUGGAAUCUGAUCCUGCAAGAUAAAAGCAAAUUUUGAUACGAUGCCUCAGCAUAUUUUGGAUCAAGUUGAGGAUGAGGUGAGUGAAGAAUACAGUUGCUUAAAGAAUCAAAUGCAAAGGAUGUGUUGAAAAACAAAAGGCAAUUGAAGUUAUUUUUUUAGGGUUUUCUCAAAGGGAUUCCGAGUCGGCAUAAAGUUGGAUACGUAGACCUGAGCAUUGAGAAACCAGGAACUUGAAAUUUCUAAGAACAUAACCCUCUUGUGAUUGUUUUCCUCACAUGCCUCUUGCUAAUAUUGACGUGGGGGCAGGAUCUUUCCCUAUCUCACUCAGAAUUAUGACAAGGCAAAGGUUUUUGAUAAACAAAUCAAACCAUGCUUGAAUGUAUUAAAGAUCUGGGGAAAAAGGAAGGAAUGAUAAGGAAUAGAUAUUAUUGUUUGCAGAAAUUAUAUGAAGCUUUAUUCUAUAUGCCUACAAUAUCAUGGGAAAAGCAUAACCACGAGCAGAUAGAUUUAAAUUUCUUAUUUGUUCACACACACGCAUAAAUAUAUGUGAGGGAUGUCAUAUAAAGGGAAGAAAAUACAUUUAUGAAUGCAGGUCAAGUAAAUCCACUUAUGGUGCUGUUGAGGAUUGAAACUUGCGAGAAACUAACAACCCCAAGGAAAAGGCUAAAACUGCAGUGAUAACAAUUCCCUUGUUCUGUCUUAAAACUUUCACCGCACUUGUUAAUAUGGUCUCUUGGUGAUUGUCACGUAGAGGAUCUCACCAUCAAAUUUCCCAGCUAUCUUAUCAGUAUCUGAAUCCUUUGGCACUGGAAAAAUCAGCUCAAAAUGAACACGUUUCUCUUCGUUCACUUGCCUUUCUCCUCUUACUAUAAUAUAGCCAGAGCCCUCGACCUGCAGCUUCACCUCUUCCUUCUUGAAUCCUGAAAAAAAUAGUUUUCACUGGCUUGUUAAUGACCUUACUUCAGGCAUAGAGAGAUUGAAGAAGCAAGCCAAGAAGAAAAAUGACUAGUCGACAUUGGAAAGAAAACAGACAGAGGCGUCCUCUUUCAAUAUGCCAAUGCUUGUAUGUUGCAGAAGCAUGUAUAUUCUAGUCUUGUACUAUGAAAUAAAGGUGUUUGAAUGUGGAAUACCGGGAAGAUCAACUAAAAGAUAAUGCCCGGUGGAGUCCUCUGUCCAUCCAGAAUUGGGCACUAUCUGUUCCACGAUAGGAGCACGUGAGCUUGUUCUGACUCCAGCCCUUCUUCCACCUCUAACAGUACUAGCCAUUGAUAAGGAUGAUCCAAUAGCUGAUAUGAUUCUCUAGACAGAAAGUAUUGAUUGGAUGUUGAAGAAGUAUCAAAAUUCACGCAAUGAAACUUUGUCCUUUGGUUUUAA